CCAGCUCCAAUAGCGUAUAUUAAAGUUGUUGCAGUUAAAAAGCUCGUAGUUGGAUUUCUGGCGUGGGGUCACUGUCCCGGCAUCCUAGUGGUGCUGUGUGUCGGCUGGCCUCUGCCAUCUUUUCGGAAUAACCAGCGUACCCUUCACUGGGCUGCGUUGGCGACUCCGAUCUUUUACUUUGAAAAAAUUAGAGUGUUCAAAGCAGGCUUUCCGCUGUGAAUACAUUAGCAUGGAAUAAUAACAUAGGACUUUCGUCUUAUUUUGUUGGUUUCUAGGAUGAGAGUAAUGAUUGAUAGGGAUAGUUGGGGGUGCUCGUAUUCAGGGGCCAGAGGUGAAAUUCUAUGAUUCCCUGAAGACGAACUUAUGCGAAAGCAUUCACCAAGGAUGUCUUCU
rnacentral:rRNA from 1 species